AACGAACGCUGGCGGCAGGCCUAACACAUGCAAGUCGAGCGCCCCGCAAGGGGAGCGGCGGACGGGUGAGUAACGCGUGGGAAUAUGCCCUUUGCUACGGAAUAGUCUCGGGAAACUGGGGGUAAUACCGUAUGCGCCCUUUGGGGGAAAGAUUUAUCGGCGAAGGAUUAGCCCGCGUUGGAUUAGGUAGUUGGUGGGGUAAUGGCCUACCAAGCCGACGAUCCAUAGCUGGUUUGAGAGGAUGAUCAGCCACACUGGGACUGAGACACGGCCCAGACUCCUACGGGAGGCAGCAGUGGGGAAUCUUAGACAAUGGGGGCAACCCUGAUCUAGCCAUGCCGCGUGAGUGAUGAAGGCCUUAGGGUUGUAAAGCUCUUUCAGCUGGGAAGAUAAUGACGGUACCAGCAGAAGAAGCCCCGGCUAACUCCGUG
rnacentral:rRNA from 1 species